AUUCCCCUACCCUCUUGGCCGCCCCCUCCCAUCUCCUCCUUUCUCAAGCACUUGCAGCCACACAUCAAACCCUAGCCCCCCCCAUCUCCUCCUCCCAUGGUGCCAUUCGUUGCCGCUCGGAUCUCCGUCGCGUGGUGCAAAUCUUCAACGGUUUUCGGUGGAGGGAGGAAGGGAGGAAGAAAAGGGGGAGAACUCAAGGUGAUUUUUGUGUUUAUCUCUUGUUCAUUUUAUGCGGCAAUCCAAUUGUUUAGAUGUUGCGUGUGCGAUUUGGUAGAAGGGCUGUCCAGAAUUUUAAGGGGGUGGACGAACAACAGCAGAAUUAGUGAUUUCUGGGCAUUUUUCGUGGAGAAUUAAGGAGAAUCAGUUUGGGAAUCAUGUAGAACUUUGGCAUACCUUUCCAACGAGUAUUUAUGCGCUCAAUUUGGAGUUAUAAAUUAAAAGUUAUCACCGUUUGAAACCGGGUAGGUGGCUGUCCAAAAAAACAGAUUUUCAAGGGGAUGAACAGCAGCAGUAUUAGCAGUUUCUGGGGAUUUUUCGGGAGUAAUUAGUGUUAAUCAGUAUGAGAAUCAUGUAGGGCUUUAUGUUAUCUUUCCAACAAGUACUUAUGCGCUCGAUUCGGAGUUAUAAUUUAGGAGAUAUCGUAGUUUGAAUCCGGUUAUGUUGCUGUCCAAAAAACAGAUUUUUCAGGUGGGUGAACAGCAGUGGUAUAAAGCAGUUUCUGGGACUUUUUCGUGGGUAAUUAGUGUUAACCAGUAUGAUAAUCAUGUAGAGAUUUGUCUUAUCUUUCCAAUGAGUACUUAUGCGCUUGAUUUGGAAUUAUAUUUUAAAAGAUAUCGCUGUUUGAAUCCGGGUAUGUCGCUGUCCAAAAGACAAAGAAAAACAGAUUACAGGGUUCAUCUUGUGGACUGUUUUGGGCUAAUUAGAUAUUGGAAUUUAAUUAUAAAUUGUAUACAAAACUUGUGGGGAAUUUUAUGUAGAUGCCUCUGGAGUUUUUGUUUGUUACCACUGCUGUCAUAAUUUUGAAGUUAUGAAAUUAUUAAGCAGCGCCGCUGCAAUUUGGUGGGUGUAGGGAGAGAUGUAACCCGCGGCGGGGUUUGAGUUUGUGCGUAGGUGCGGCGUCGCUUAUGAGCCUGAUUAUGUGAAAUUGGUGCACUAAGUUGGGUGUCAAAAACAGGUGGUGGACUUCCGGAUCGUACUUAGGGAUUUGCCCGAACUUCCG
rnacentral:lncRNA from 1 species